rnacentral:rRNA from 1 species
AGAAUCAACGCUGGCGGCGUGCCUAACACAUGCAAGUCGCACGAGAAAGUGGAGCAAUCCACGAGUAAAGUGGCGCACGGGUGAGUAACACGUGAAUAAUCCUACCUCCGAGUGGGGAAUAACUGAGAGAAAUCUUAGCUAAUACCGCAUAAUACCCACGGGUCAAAGCAGCAAUGCGCUUGGAGAGGAGUUCGCGGCCGAUUAGCUAGUUGGCGGGUAAUGGCCCACCAAGGCGAUGAUCGGUA